rfam:Triticum urartu cultivar G1812 contig900561, whole genome shotgun sequence.
UUUCUACUCCCUCCGUCCGAAAAUACUUGUCAUCAAAAUGGAUAAAAAGAGAUGUAUCUACGUAUCUAAAACUGAAAUACGUCUAGAUACAUUUCCUUUUAUGCAUUUUGAUGACAAGUAUUUCUAGACGGAGGGAGUAUUUG